rnacentral:lncRNA from 1 species
CUGGGAACAUGACUCCAAGGAGCAGCGACUAGGACAGCGAGGGAUCUGGCCCUCAGGUUGCAGCGUGGCCUGCGCGCGGAACUUAAACACCUAAGGGAAAAGAUGGCGCGCGAUGAUGACGUCAAACGCAAUGGCUCCCGCGGGUUGUGGUCGGAGCGCUGGCGGGGGCGUGAUCGUGACGUUAAGGGCGGUGCCCAGUCAGCGAGGAGCUAGAAUGACUUGUCAGCCACCUUUGAGCAAGAACUUGCCUGGAGUCCAAAUGUAUGGCUAUUGAAGGAUAGUAAGCAGACAGCACUAAAAGUCAUCCAUUCGUUAUGGAUUUAGUCUUAAGACCCUCAUUUGAGAGAUGCCUUCCCUGUACCUGGAGGAAAGAAACAUCCUUAUCUCUGAAGACACAGGGCCACAGAGAAGAGUCUGAACAAACAGGCUUUACCAAUUUCCCCCAGUUGUUACCGUUAGAUCAGACCUUUGUCCAGUCAUACCUUUCCACAAGUUGUCCACUCAUCAACCCUAAGCAUAAAAAUGCACAAGUUUCCCUGUUUGUUUGGGUCUUCAUUUCCAA